AUCCCUGUAGCGCAAUGGAUAGCGCGUUGGAUUUCUAAUCCGAAGGUCGUGAGUUCGAAUCUUAUCUGGGGAUG
rnacentral:tRNA from 1 species